UGGGGAAUUUUGGACAAUGGGCGAAAGCCUGAUCCAGCAAUGCCGCGUGUGCGAUGACGGCCUUCGGGUUGUAAAGCACUUUCAGUUGUGAAGAAAUGUACACGGUUAAUAGCCGUGUAAGCUGACGUUAACAACAAAAGAAGCACCGGCUAACUCUGUGCCAGCAGCCGCGGUAAUACAGAGGGUGCGAGCGUUAAUCGGAAUUACUGGGCGUAAAGAGCGCGUAGGUGGUCUACUAAGUCAUGUGUGAAAUCCCCGAGCUUAACUUGGGAAUUGCAUGUGAUACUGGUAGUCUAGAGUAUGGUAGAGGGAAGUGGAAUUUCCGGUGUAGCGGUGAAAUGCAUAGAUAUCGGAAGGAACACCAGUGGCGAAGGCGACUUCCUGGGCCAAUACUGACACUGAGGCGCGAAAGCGUGGGGAGCAAACAGG
rnacentral:rRNA from 1 species